rnacentral:rRNA from 1 species
GACGAACGCUGGCGGCGUGCUUAACACAUGCAAGUCGAACGGAAAGGCCCUGCUUUUGUGGGGUGCUCGAGUGGCGAACGGGUGAGUAACACGUGAGUAACCUGCCCUUGACUUUGGGAUAACUUCAGGAAACUGGGGCUAAUACCGUAUAGGAGCUCCUGCUGCAUGGUGGGGGUUGGAAAGUUUCGGCGGUUGGGGAUGGACUCGCGGCUUAUCAGCUUGUUGGUGGGGUAGUGGCUUACCAAGGCUUUGACGGGUAGCCGGCAUGGGAGGGUGACCGGGGACAUGGGGACUGAGAUACGCCGCAGAGGCGAAGGGGAGGCAGAGGGGGGAAAUAUGGAACAGGGGGAGGGCGCGGGAGAAAAAGGCGCCGCGGGGGGGAUGACGGCUUGGGGGGUAAAAAAAGCUGUCGGCUGAGACGAAGCGGGAGUGACGGUAAUGAAAAAAGAAGCACCGGAUAACUACGUG